UUUAUAGAUAAACUUAACUUUGUAAAUAGACAAAAACAUCUCCAAUCCCCCUUAGGAAACACCCAACAAGCCAUUAUGGCUUUCUUGGGCCUUAUGGACUUCCUUUUUGGUCUAGACAAACAUCCCAACUUAUGCCUCCAUCCUGAUUUUCUUCAAUGCAAACAGGCUUAGUUCUUUAUUAUAAUUCCAGCCUAUAACCUUGAAUUUCAUGUAUAUUCCAUGUUUUAGUUCUUCAAAUAGUAUUUCACAAUUCCAAUGAACUGGCUUCAAAAUUUCAGACUUAGUGAGAAUUGUUGACCCCCUUGUAACAUAAAAUUUUUGUUUUUCAUGACUAUAGUGGGAAAAAACAAGAAGGUGGUUAGUAAAUACCUGGUUGGGGACAUUUAUAUUAUUGUGGUUGUCAUGGUAGACGAGAACUUUAUAUAGGGAAUAUGCAAUUUAAGUUUAGUGCUCGUCUUAGGUUGACAUGAAAGGCAAAGGUUGGCAGUAAAAGACAAAGGGGUGAGGUUGGCAGCCUUACAGUAAUCACUCCGACAUUCAAGUUCGUAUAGAAUUGUUGAGAGAGUUCUUGUGCAAUUGAGAGUUUAGUACUUGUGUUGUCUGGCUAUAUAUGUAGGCUAAUAAUGACCCAUUGAAGCUGUUAGCCAGAUCUCAUGAUAAUCGAUGUCUCAACCUUUGGUGAGUAAUUGCUUAUCCACCGUUGUUGUCUGAGCCAUAUCCAUUUUGAGGCAUUAUGUAUUCUAUCAGAGCCGAGCUAUUGAUCACUCAUACUUCCAUUCCGAGCUAUGAAAUGCCGAGUCAUAUGUCUUAGUUAUCAAAUGACUGUUUGACUGAACCAAGUGACUUUUUGACCAAGCCAUUUGACUCUG
rnacentral:misc_RNA from 1 species